rnacentral:lncRNA from 1 species
AUAAUAAAAGCAAAGGGGUUGUGUUAAGUGUUCUUGUAUUCAUCAGGCAGCAGGAUGAUCUCUUGUGGAGUAAAAUGUCAGGUGUUUUUUUUUUUAAGAAAUCGAUUUUUAGUUGUGACGUCAUUUGGCAGGCUGUCCACGGUAUCACUUUCUGCUUAUUUUUAAAAGGUCUGAUUUAAGCCGACGCUGUUCUACCCUGCCACUCCUAGCCAUAAAUUGGUACUGUGUGUAAGUUUUGCUUUUUGUUUGAUCUGAAGCAGCUUUUGUUUCUUUCCCUCAGAAGCGAUGUCCCCGUUAACUUUUGUUCAGUAAAGAGACAGUGUAAGAAAAGGUGGAACUGUGUUGCUGAUAACUUAUCAGGUCUUUUAUACCCUUUUGUGUCUUUUUAAGUUUGCUUCUGAUCCCUGAGUUUACCUUAUGUCAGGCAUGUGGAAGUAUAAGCACAGUUCAAAUAUGUUAUUGGAUAAGCGUGUAAUUGAAUAAGGAGUUGUAACCUAAAGUUAGAAAAAUCUAACUCAUAAAGAGUAUGGGAAUUCCUCCUUGUCUAUCAAAACAAGUUGGUUAAGUCAGAGGCAAGACGAAAGGCCCAGGUUUACAUUACAUGUAAAUUGUAUGUGCUUUUGCUAGUUUUCCUGCCACUUAGGUGGCUUACUUAACAUGCUUCAGUUAACUCACCUUUAAAAUGGGAGCAAUAAUAGUUAUCACGGGGUUGUUGUGUUCUUACAUUUGGACAUAUAGUUAGCUGUAACUAUAAGUUAUUUUUGUUAUGCAUCCCAAAAACUUGGUUUCUGUCCCCACCCCCCGCCCACCAACUUUUUCUUACAUAUCAAAACCUUAUAAUAAAAUCCAUGGAGACAUAGCAAUUUUGAACAGAAAGAACCUUUGAGAUUAUUUGGUCUGCUUCCCACAUUUUAACUGCCGUACGAAGAGGAGACAUGAACAGUUCUCAGUCUUUGGAGCCAGACAGAUUUGGGUCAGGUUCAAAUCCUUGGCACUCUACUAAGAUGUUUUAUAUAAAGUACAGCUUGUAAGGGCACCAGGCCUCCUGGAGUCAGACAUCAUGGGCUUGAAUCCUAGCUAUUCUUAUUUGUGAGCUGUGUGAUGUUGCGAUAAUUACUAAGCCUUUCUGUAUUCCAUCUCAUGGUGUUUAUGUAAUGAUGGAAACUAUAUGUAAAGCACUAAACAUAUAUAAACAUAAACAUAUAAAGUCUGUCAUCUUUGUCAAAUUCCUCUUUGCCCUCUGUUUCCUCGACUGUAAAAUGGAAGUAAUACCUAUUUUUGCUAGGAUUUUGGAAGGAUUAGAUAUAAAUAAAACAUGGUAUGGUGGUAUUUGAUAAAUUGUAGUAAUAGAAGUAAUAUCAUUCAGUGAAAGUCAGUACAAACUUUAAUCUUGUACUGCUGUGGAUGUGUUGUGUAGUCAUGGUGUAGCCCCCUUUUAUUUAAUCGAUUUGCCUUAAUUAUUCAGCACAACAGUUAUAAUAGAAUGAUCAUCUAAAAAUAGGAAUGCAUGGGGAAAUCACGCAGGGAGCAGAGACUUAUAAAAAGGUACACCUAGAAAUAAGAGUGAUCUGGAUGAACUCCUACAAUGUGGCAGCCGUUUGCUUUGUGCUGGAGAUACCAUGACGAACAGCCCACGUUCCUGCCUUCAGGAAACUGAAAGAGAACCAACUCUCAGAACUGCAGCAAGGUUAAGGGCCUUGGCAGCUGUACUGUGCAUUUGGUAUUAUAGUAAUAGUCACAAGACAACCCUCUAGACUGUGUGUGGAGUCAGGCAGAGCUGGGUAUAAAUCCUGGCAUCUGCAACCUUUCUCGGGCAAACUGCCUAACUCUUCUAAAAUCUUACCAGUAAGAUGUGGGUAAGAAAUUCUACCUUGGCCAGGUGCGGUG